CGUACUUGCAAAUAAAAUUAUUGACAUCCACAAGUCUUUUAGGAUUCAUAAUAAAGUUUACAAGAUGGUUACUGAUAAUGGGUCUAAUUACCUGAAGGCAUUUAGAAUAUUUGUGAGGAUAAUGCUGAAGAUGAGAUACAGAAUGAUAGUCAACAUGUAUUGGAAGAGGAGGAAAUAGGUGUUGAUACCAAUGAUAUUAAUGAGAUCUUAGAAGAAGGAUCUUCAACUAACUCCACAAUGUUACCCAGCCAUCAGAGAUGCUCCUGUCAUAAUUUUAAUUUGAUAGCAACAGUAGAUGCUGAAGAAGCUUUAAAUGAUGAAGAUUUUAAA